CUGCGUAUUAUCGCUUGAUUUUUCCUAAACUUGUGCGUUUUGUGUGAUUUCAACAGGAAUAACCAUGGAACAGUUAUUUGUGGCGUUUUGACGUACACGCCGACUGUACAAUAUUAAACUACCUACAUUUCAGUCUACCGCGACCACGGCUUUUGUAAAGAUGUCGAAACGCCGGAAAAGAAAAAUAAAAAUCCCGUUUAUACAGCAAUAAAAUAGUUAAAUAAAAAUAAGUUCGAAAAAAAAUCAUAUUGAUUAAAUAAAACAGUCGUAUCCAUACUAUUGUAGCUUCAUGGAGCAACUAUGCUCAUAUUUCACUGUUUUUAAUAACAUCGUUUUUGAUAUUUCUCUUCUAAACAUGUGUUAUUUUUCAUUGUAAUUGAUGCUUAGUUCUAUGUAAAUCUUGAAUAAUUAACAACUAUAACACUUGGAAGUAUAUAUUCUGCAAAAUCUUAGUGUUUUUGAGACAAUGUUUUUUGUAAGAAUUUCGAGCCUCAUUUUUGAUACAUCCAUACUCAAGAUGUGUUGAAUAUUAUAAUGUGCCAUUAUUUAUACUAGCUUGGCAGUAAGUUAAAAUUAUUGUAAACAAAAAACGCUUUGUCCCUGACGCCAGGAACAUAUUGUAAACUAAUGAAAUGUGAGACCCACUUAAGUGGCUUUUGAAGAGGUGCUUUUUUUGUCGUAUGUUAAAAAGAGGGUACAGUGAAAAAAAAAUGUAUGUAAGGUA